GUAAAAACAACUGGUGAAGAGAAAAACCAUUUAUUUUCAACACUUAAGCGACAAAGCAUCUUCUAGUCGGUUCCGAUCAUGUUACUGCUUUUCCUCAACUUUUUCGUCGGUGCAUGGGUGGUUCAGUGGUAGAAUUCUCGCCUGCCACGCGGGAGGCCCGGGUUCGAUUCCCGGCCCAUGCAAUACAAGAUUGCGUUUUGGACCGGGCUCGGGAGGUUGCCGUGAGCCAAGACCGCACCGUUUUAACUCCAGCCUCGGCAACGAUGAGCGAAACUUCAGAAGCGACCUGACGGAGAAGAGAGCAGGACUAUUUAAAAGAUUCUGGCAAGAGGAGCUCAGUUUCUCCAAAUGAAGAAAUGUGUGACACCCUCCCAUCUCACAGGAUUGCCGGAAAAACACAAAAAAGGCAGUGUUUAAACAUGUCGUAACUGGGCACUGAAUUGUACCUGGCCCUUCUCUCCUCUGGUUAACCCGGUCUGAAGACUUGGAGACAUCUGUCACAUUUUAGAUGCAGAGGAGUAUUCCAGCUUAAAUGGUUGCUUUCAGAGUACUAAUUCUUGGCCUCCCUCCCCCGCCACAGAAAAGAACCUCUUAUGGUGGGAAAUUCAGUUUGCUGAAAGCCGGAUAUUAAACAUAAUUUUGAGAUA